rnacentral:rRNA from 1 species
GACGAACGCUGGCGGCGUGCUUAACACAUGCAAGUCGAACGGUGAAGCGCCUUCCUUUUUGGUGGGUGUGGAUGAGUGGCGAACGGGUGAGUAACACGUGAGUAACCUGCCCCCUUCUUCUGGAUAACCGCAUGAAAGUGUGGCUAAUACGGGAUAUUCUGGGUCUGUCGCAUGAUGGGUCUGGGAAAGAUAUUGUUUCGGUGGGGGAUGGGCUCGCGGCCUAUCAGCUUGUUGGUGGGGUGAUGGCCUACCAAGGCGGUGAGGGGUAGCCGGCCUGAGAGGGUGGACGGUCACACUGGGACUGAGACACGGCCCAGCCUCCUGCGGGAGGCAGCAGUGGGGAAUAUUGCACAAUGGGCGCAAGCAUGAUGCAGCGACGCCGCGUGAGGGAUGGAGGCCUGCGGGUUGUGAACCUCUUUCGCCAGUGAAGCAGGCCUGCCUAGUUUGUGGGUGGGUUGACGGUAGCUGGAUAAGAAGCGCCGGCUAACUACGUG